GACGAACGCUGGCGGUGUGCUUCACACAUGCAAGUCGAACGAGGUAGCAAUACCUAGUGGCGGACGGGUGAGUAACGCGUGGGAAUCUGCCUUUUAGAUGGGGGAUAACGAGCCGAAAGGUUCGCUAAUACCGCAUAGGUCGCAAGAUUAAAGGAGUAAUCCGUCUAGAGAUGAGCCCGCGUCCGAUUAGCUAGUUGGUAAGGUAAAGGCUUACCAAGGCGAUUAUCGGUAGCUGGUCUGAGAGGACGAUCAGCCACACGGGAACUGAGACACGGUCCCGACUCCUACGGGGGGCGAGCAGUGAGGAAUAUUGGGCAAUGGGCGAAAGACCUGACCCAGCAACGCCGCGUGGAGGAUGAAGGCUUUAGGGUUGUAAACUCCUUUUGUGGGGGAAAAGAAUGGAUGGUACCCCAAGAAUAAGUCACGGCUAA
rnacentral:rRNA from 1 species